rnacentral:rRNA from 1 species
UACGGGGGGGGGCAAGCGUUGUUCGGAAUUACUGGGCGUAAAGGGCUCGUAGGCGGCCAACUAAGUCGGAUGUGAAAUCCCCAAGCUUAACUUGGGAACUGCAUCCGAUACUGGAUGGCUUGAAUCCGGGAGAGGGAUGCAGAAUUCCAGGUGUAGCGGUGGAAUGCGCAGAUAUCGGGAAGAACACCGGUGGCGAAGGCGGCUCGCUGGGCCGUUGCUGACGCUGAGGCGCGAAAGCGUGGGGAGCAAACGGG